rnacentral:rRNA from 1 species
GAGUUUGAUCCUGGCUCAGGACGAACGCUGGCGGCGCGCCUAACACAUGCAAGUCGAGCGGAGUAAAGGAUUUCGGUUUUUUACUUAGCGGCGGACGGGUGAGUAACGCGUGAGUAACCUGCCCUUCAGCGGGGGAUAGCGUCUGGAAACGGACGAUAAUACCGCAUAAUGUGCGAAGAAGACAUCUUCAUUGCACCAAAGGAUUUAUUCACUGAAGGAUGGACUCGCGUCCGAUUAGUUAGUUGGUGAGGUAACGGCCCACCAAGACCGCGAUCGGUAGCCGGACUGAGAGGUUGAUCGGCCACAUUGGGACUGAGACACGGCCCAGACUCCUACGGGAGGCAGCAGUGGGGGAUAUUGCACAAUGGAGGAAACUCUGAUGCAGCGACGCCGCGUGAGGGAAGAAGGUCUUCGGAUUGUAAACCUCUGUCUUCAGGGACGAAACAAAUGACGGUACCUGAAGAGGAAGCCACGGCUAACUACGUGCCAGCAGCCGCGGUAAU